rnacentral:rRNA from 1 species
GGGCCGCACGCGCGAUCGCUUCGAUCGGAUCGACUCGCGGGCGCAGGCGCGCCGAGAUCCGCACGCCGCCGCGUCGGGUGUGCGGCAUCGGCGAAGCGCCCGCCGGCGAGCGGCGGAUGAACGAGGACGGCCGGCGCGCGGCCGUGGCCGAUGGGCGCGGGCGCGCAUGCUCUACAAUGGCGCGGCCGCGCGAGCGGCCUCCGAUAACCCUUGUCCGUCCUUCCCGCUUCCCGAUGAUCGUCGACCGCCUGAUCUCCGAAAUCCUGUUCGGCUUCACCGGCCUCAUGGGCAUCAUCAAUCCGUUCGGCAUCGCGUUCCUGUUCCUCGAGCGCACCGAGUCGCUGACCGAGGCGCAGCGCGCGGCGCUCGCGCGCAAGGUCGCGAUCAACGCAUUCAUCGUGCUGCUCGCCGCGUUCUUCGUCGGCAUCUCGCUCGAGGCGCUGCGCAUCGGCGGCGGCCUCGCGGUCGCGGUGGCGGGCUGGCAGAUGCUCAACGAGCCGGACGUGCCGACGGGCGGCGACACCGCCGCGCAGCCCGUCGAGCCGCGCAACGCGAUGGCGCGCGCAUUCUUCCCGCUGACGAUUCCGCUGACCACCGGCCCCGGCUCGAUCGCGACCGCGAUCGCGCUGAACGCGAACCGCACGCACAAGCUCUCGGAGUUCGUGCUGUCGAGCAUCGUGUCGGUCGCGGUAUCGGCGCUCGCCGCGCUCGUGAUCUGGCAGACGUACAGUCGCGCCGCGUUUCUCGCGCGCUAUCUCGGCACCGAGGGCACGAAGGUCGCGAUGCGCGUGUCGGCGUUCCUGCUGCUGUGCGUCGGCGUGCAGAUCAUGCUCACGGGCUUCUCCGAGUUCCUGCGGCCGAUCGCCGAUCAGGUGAAGUGAAGGCGGCUCGAUGCCGCCCCUGGCGGGCGACGCGUCGCGCCGGCGCGAAACGCGCGCGCCGGGAGGGCGGCGCCCGCCGUGCCGGUCGUAUCGAUCCGUAUCGAUUUGUGUCGAUGGCCUCGCGUACGAAGCGGGUGCGGCACGGGCGCAUGCGAGAGACGCCGCGCGAUCGGGCCGCCCGGCGCGCGGCGCGCCCGCGCGCGUCGGGCAAGCGCGCGGCGGCGUCAUGCGCGCGAUGGCGCGCGCGACAGGCGCCGGGCGGGCGGCCGCGAUGCAGGCGGGCUUCGCCGCCGGCGCGAAACGCGCGUCGCGCGCGGCCCGGUUGCGCCGCGCACGCCGAGACGCGUCAGCGGGCCACCGCGAGCAUCGGAUACGUGAAGAGCCCGAAAUGCGCGAGAUUCAGGCCGACGUGCGCGAGCACGGCCGCCUGCAACCCGCCUGCGCGAUAAGCGAGCCCGUAGCCGACGCCCGCGACGGUGGCGAGCGCGACCCAUUGCCAGCCGCCCGCGGCGUGCGCGGCGCCGAACAGCAGCGCGGCCGCGACGAGCGCGACCGUGCCCGCGGCCGGCACGCGGUUCGCGAGCAGUCG